CUGUAAUCUUUUUCGAAUAAUUUUAAAAGAUUAAAAAAGAUUCGAAAAGAUUCAAGAUGAUUCGGCGAGAUUAAUAUAUAAAAAAAAGUGCACCCGUCAGUUUUAUUAAAAUAGCUGGACCAUUUCGUUCAGUGUUUGUUUUGGUUUUGAGUAAUGAAGCGAUCAGCAUAGUCAACAUCAGAUCAGUUCGGGAACUGAAAAUGAACAAAACUGAAGCUGCAGUUCAAGCGCCGUCACCGCUUCACAUACGUAAGGUAAUGCUCCCGCAAUGCGACCGAUAUCCGCGCCAUAAGGAACGUUUCCAUCGCCGGAAAGUUGAUCGAGAUGGCCAUUCAGUCACUGCGAUUCGUUGACCCUCAGGUGUUUACCAAGGCACAUCGUCUGUAGAAACUUUCCCGUAAUGCAGUUCUUCGGCCAAAGCGAAACCAUUGGCUCCGUUUUUCUGUGUAGUCGCUGGUCUACAGAACGCUGAGAUAGCAACGCACGAGACGAUUCGCAAGGAGCGCAACCCGGUGGUCAACCCGAGGCAGGUAAUAUGGAAAUGUUCGAAAGAACGCCAUCGGCAACCCGAAGCAGUUCGUCAUCCUGGCGCACUGCAUCUUUCACAGCAUCCACGGAGUGUGUCCUAUCGUGGCUCGAAAAAGUGAUCGGUCGCCACAUCGAGCUGAUCCGGGUGGCCGACAUCAGUGGUGUUGAUCUAUGCCAUAUAGCGGUCCGAGCUUCCCAGGAGUACUGCAUUGGCCUGUGCCAUAACGAGCAAGAUAUAUGUAUCUCUAUUCUGUCCAAGCAAAAGGAGUACUUCAAGCAUCCGCUGAUCGAAAUAUAGGUGUGUUUUGUGAAUUUUGAUAGCAAACAUGAAUUUGUAGAAUUGUUAUUCCGAAAUGCCUUUUUAUUGGAUAUAGUGGAUACACGUCGGUGAAAAGCAUCUAGAUCUUCAGUUUAUCAUUCAACACAACUUCACACGGAUUCCUCCAAUUAUGUUUGUAGGUAUCGGUUGAUCAUCUUCGUUUCCCGUUCAGCUUAGAGAGCUAUGCAGUGUCGGUAUUGGUUAUCUCAAUUGACUAAUCCUACUAAAAACAGUCCAAUAAACAGGUGACUCCUCCUAAUUCAUGGUGUGAUUAACCCUCCUUGUGCAUUGGGGUCAUUUAUGACCCAAACCGUGCACUACGUCAGCGAGCUGCUGCCAACGUAAUGCAUGAGGAAGGUUAACUCAUGCUUACGGUACCUAGGAAUGAAUUAU